CUACAGUGAUCCGAUUGUUUUGAUAUUUAUCGUCUUGUUUUGGAGCGAGUUUUUGGACGAAAUAGAUUCAGAAUGUGUUACAAUUUUGUGUUAUAAUAAUAUCUGAAUCAUAUUCAAAUAGAAAAGUUCCAGCUUCGAGGAAGCAUGUCAGCGGAAUGAAUGAAAUAUUUCAACCGCAAUUCAAUGUACAAGAAAAACUAGCACAAGUGAGCAUAGGGUGUGAGCAUACCUUUUUCAAACUGUGAAUGGUCUUAAAAACGUUAAAAGCCACCGUUCUAAAGACCAACUUGUUGGAAUACGAUGGAGAAGAACUGGCUAGAGCUGUGUACUGGUUCAUUGUCAAUAUUUGGAAGGAAGAACGAAUACCGGUGGAGUGGAUGGAAGAUAUCGUGUGUCCAAUCUACAAAAAGAGCGACAAGCUGGAGUGCUGUAAUUACCGGGCAAUCACUCUGCUGUACGCCGCCUACAAGGUACUCUCCCAAAUACUCUGGCGUCGACUAUUACCAUUUGCGAAGCAGUUCGUGGGGCACUACCGGGCGGGAUUCAUGGGUGCCCACGCCACCACAGAUAUUCGCGCUUCGACAGGUCAUACAGAAAUGCCCGGAAUACAACGUGCCCACACAUCAUCUAUUCAUCGAUUUCAAAUCGGCAUUCGAUGGAAUCGAUCGAGACCAGCUUUGGUAAAUUGGACAUCCAACUGCUGAAAGUAGUCAAAUCGACCAUGGAUGAUGCGCUGAAACGUUUCCGUGAACGUACAUUUGUUGUUCUUAUGUCUAUUUCAAGCAGUAAAUGUGGAGCUGACGAUUGAAAAAUACUCGAUAUCACUUGAAAUCUUCACCUCUGAAACCCGUCUGCAGUGAACCACUUUCAAAGACGAACUGAGAGAUACAACUAUUAACCAUCUUGAAGGGAAAACAAUCAAAGUGUCACUAAUUCAAAUUUAAACUCAUUGAAACCCGCUUCCAAAGGCCAGACGAAGCAAAUGAUUACAAAUCAAUUUCAGAAUCGUUAGAAAGCUAAACUUCUGGAAAAAACGAUAACCUGAAACGAUUCCAAAUAAAGCUUAAAAUCAUCGAAAAGAUAAUAUGGUGCCACA